rnacentral:pre_miRNA from 1 species
CAAGAGUGCAUUUUUACGUUUAAGUUUAACAUAUGAUCGUCUGUUUUAUUUGAAAAAAAUUAUAAUUAUUACUUUUAUUGUUACUAGAUAAAACAUAAACAAUAUUUUAUGUGUGACCAUUUUUUAAAAAAACCAUAAUUUUUUUAAAUAAGACGAACGAUUAAAAGUUAAACACAAAAAUCUACAAAUGCAAUUAUA